CGUUUGCGUUUUCCUUCAGUUUCAUCCUCUUUUUGCAGAGUUUGCAUUUUCUUUUGGCUUGAAGUAACUUCUUCUUUUGGAGCCAUUUUAUCAAUUUUAAUUUCUUUUUUAAAGUCUGUCUUCCCUCAAUAAGACUGAGUACUUUGGCGUGCAGGGUCAUGAUAACUUUGCAUCAAACCGUCUUCCUGUCUUGCACAUGCGCAGUUCUUACACGUGUCUCACUAAGAAGAACUUGGCAAUGGAGGCUCAGAGGAAGAGCAAGCGUAAAAGGCAGCCUACAAGAGAUCUUGGACGCGUGGAGAAAGCCAUGGCAGAAUCUGUAGUGUGCUGCAGUGAUGGGUCUGACUUUGAGUCAGACACAGUACACCAGCCUACUAAAAGAGUAGCAGCUCAAGGUUCUUCAGUAGCUCCAACAGCUAUUUCAUCUUUGAAGCGCAGCAAACAAUAAAACGUUGUCUGGAAGCGAAAGCUGGAGAAUGCGAAAGAAAAAAUAAAGUCAUUAGAGAAUGAAAGGGACUUCUUAAGGAACCAACUGUCUGAGGCUUUGGCGCUUGCAAAUAAAGAGGACCAAGUGACAGCAGCGCCCUCCUUGCACGAAAAGAGUAUUGAAAAAUCCUCUUCAUCUUCCUCCUCCACCUCCUCCUCAUCCUCCUCCGACAGUUCCUCCUCUUCCUCAUCAUCUUCUUC